rnacentral:rRNA from 1 species
UUCCUUCGGGAAUUCUUAGUGGCGAACGGGUGAGUAACGCGUAGGCAACCUGCCCUCUGGAUGGGGACAACAUUCCGAAAGGAGUGCUAAUACCGAAUGUGACGAUUUUACCGCAUGGUUUUAAUCGUGAAAAGAUGGCCUCUACAUGUAAGCUAUCGCCAAAGGAUGGGCCUGCGUCUGAUUAGCUAGGUUGGUGGGGUAACGGCUCACCCAAGGCGACGAUCAGUAGCCGGUCUGAGAGGAUGAACGGCCACAUUGGGACUGAGACACGGCCCAGACUCCUACGGGAGGCAGCAGUGGGGGAAUCUUCCGCAAUGGGCGAAAGCCUGACGGAGCAACUGCCGCGUGAGUGAUGAAGGUUUUCGGACCGUAAAGCUCUUUUGUUUAUGAUGAAUGUGCAUGAUGUGAACAAUGUUGUGUAAUGACGGUAGUAAACGAAUAAGCCACGGCUAACUACGUG